GACUACCAGUCUGAUAAGGGAACACCAGGUACAUGCAUCACAACCAUAUGUGCGCGACAAGGUGAUCUCAUAUCAAGAUAAACAGUGCAUGGCUUUGCAGUUGGAGUCUAGUUAGAAGUUUCUUCGGGUUGUGUGUGCCCAUCUCAAUA